rnacentral:tRNA from 1 species
AUUUAAAUAGCUUAAGAAGAGCAUGAUAUUGAAGAUAUCAAGGUAAUACAAAAUUUUUAAAUA